GUGCUCUUCGGAUCUUCUGGACUUGAAAGUCUCUACAGAAUCGGACUGUUUUAUUGACGCAGAGAGAUCAUUCCACAGAACAGGGGCACGAUAUGAGAAAGCUCCGAGACACACAGAGUUUUUAUUCACCCAGA